GGAUAGAUAUGCCAUUAAUCAAUUUGAUGGGUGUGUGUGGUCCAUUUACUAUGACACCCCACAUGUCAUAGUCAAGUGCUUGAAUGCAAAUUCUCAUCCAAGCUUUAUGUGUAAUUUGACCCAUUGAAAAGUGGAGAUCGGUUUGUGGAUUGUCCCUCGGAUAGAGAUGUGCCAAAUUGGACUGCCAUGGAUCUUUAGCUCUUGAUAGUUAAAUCAAGCAAGAACUAGAGCAUCGAGUUCUAAUACCACUUGUUGCCCAGAUAUGGAGCCCAAGAAAAGGAGUGAAUUGGGUCUUUUUGAAAUUUUUAAAGAUUAUACUAGUUAACUAAUGUAUCAAGGUGAAGAGUGAAGUGUAUUGAUUUUCAAAAGAAACAAAUUCAAACUCAAACAAGAUGUAAACAAGUAAUAAGCACAAUAAAUAAAUGAAGAGAGGCAAGCACAGCAAAUAUAAAGAAUUUAUAGUGGUUUGGUGCCAAUCUUGCACCCACAUCUACUCCCCAAGUCCCUACUUGGGAAUUCAAUCCACUAAGUGAAUAACAAUGGAUUACACCAACCCUUACCUUCUAAGUAAGAACACUUAUUUUUUGGAUACAAGCUAAUCCUUAACACUCUAAUUCAGAGUCUGGAUCAAUCCAAUCGAGUUUUUGAACCUCCUAAAACAAAAACACCCAAAAAUUGUUUGAGAAAAAUAUAGUAUACAAAUUUCAGCAUGCAAACCCCAUAAAUACACAC
rnacentral:lncRNA from 1 species